rnacentral:lncRNA from 1 species
CACGAACCGCAUUAAACGGCUAAAGCAACUUCCUCUUGAUAAUGUUGCUACAACACCCACAAACUGCAUUAUACGAGAUUCUUUCAGAGAGGAAAUGAAGGGCGUUGGGAAAAGAAAAACAAACGCAGCACGCGUCCUCAUCUCUCUGACGAAGCAACGCCGUCGAGGUCGACGAUAGUGAGUAGAAGAUUUGUACCUAAACGCUCCCAUCGAUUGGGAUGGUAUUGAGGAGCGGGAUGAUCCUGCGGCCACCCGAGCACCGGGCCACGACCACCCACCGCCGCACAGCCACCGGCUCUCGUCUGCGGCCUACCAGCUCCAGCUCGCCACCUCUCGCCGUAAGCCUACCUGUGUGUUGCUCCUGCCGUCCUGCAGCUCUAGUGUCGUGUGUCCUGCUCCGCUCC